AGCAGCCGCGGUAAUUCCAGCUCCAAUAGCGUAUAUUUAAGUUGUUGCAGUUAAAAAGCUCGUAGUUGAAUUUCGGGAUCGAUACGUCGGUCGUGCCUUAGGUACGUACUGUCGUCAUCGAUUUCUCCCUUCUGACGAACCAUGAUGUCAUUUAUUUGGUGUUAUGGGAAAUCAGGACUGUUACUUUGAAAAAAUUAGAGUGUUUAAAGCAAGCUAACGCUUGAAUACAUUAGCAUGGAAUAAUGAAAUAGGACGUUCGAUCCUAUUUUGUUGGUUUCUAGGAUUGACGUAAUGAUUAAUAGGGAUAGUUGGGGGGCAUUAGUAUUCAAUUGUCAGAGGUGAAAUUCUUGGAUUUAUUGAAGACUAACUACUGCGAAAGCAUUUGCCAAGGAUGUUUUCAUUAAUCAAGAGCGAAAGUUAGGGGAUCGAAGACGAUCAGAUACCGUCGUAGUCUUAACCAUAAACUAUGCCGACUAGGAAUCAGACGAUGUUAAUUUUUUCAAUGACUCGUUCGGCGCCUUAC
rnacentral:rRNA from 1 species